rnacentral:rRNA from 1 species
CCUACGGGGGGCUGCAGUGAGGAAUAUUGGUCAAUGGGCGGGAGCCUGAACCAGCCAAGUCGCGUGAGGGAAGACGGUCCUAUGGAUUGUAAACCUCUUUAGGCGGGGAGCAAUGCCGGGCACGCGUGCCCGGAGGGAGAGUACCCGCAGAAUAAGCAUCGGCUAACUCCGUGCCAGCAGCCGCGGUAAUACGGAGGAUGCGAGCGUUAGCCGGAUUUAUGGGGUUUAAAGGGUGCGUAGGCGGAUUUUUAAGUCAGCGGUAAAAUGUCCGGGCUCAACCCGGGCCGGCCGUUGAAACUGGGGAUCUUGAGUGGGCGAGAAGUAUGCGGAAUGCGUGGUGUAGCGGUGAAAUGCAUAGAUAUCACGAAGAACUCCGAUUGCGAAGGCAGCAUACCGGCGCCCGACUGACGCUGAGGCACGAAAGCGUGGGGAUCGAACAGGAUUAGAUACCCCAGUAGUC